GACGUAGGGCGCGAGCGUUGUCCGGAUUUAUUGGGCGUAAAGAGCUCGUAGGCGGCUUGUUGCGUCAGCUGUGAAAACCCGCAGCUCAACUGUGGGCUUGCAGCUGAUACGGGCAGGCUUGAGUUCGGUAGGGGAGACUGGAAUUCCUGGUGUAGCGGUGAAAUGCGCAGAUAUCAAGUGGAACACCAGUGGCGAAGGCGAGUCUCUGGACAUUUCCUGACGCUGAGGCACGAAAGCCAGGGGAGCAAACGGG
rnacentral:rRNA from 1 species